UAUAUGGAUUAUCUCCAUCUUCUUCACAGCUUUAAAUUACUAAGAGCUACCUUUCCCAAGACAUUGUGGGCUACAUGAUGCUAAAAAUCCAUCGAAAUCGUACAAGGAUGGGCCAUCUCGAGAUCAGUAUCGACUGUCAAAAGAAACCGUCACCAAUAUGCUGGAAGCCGAAAUGAAGAGGGACACACAGCUCAGAGGAUAGAUCAACUUCCUGUUUAUUUGCAGGUGUUGACAACUCUCCAUUUUUAUGCAGUGGGAUCAUUUUAAAAGAUGCAUGGUGAUGAGGCAGCAAUAUAGCAGUCAUCAAUGUGUCAGAAGCUAAAGCAAGAAGGAAGAGGCAAUACAUGAAGAUUCCUACAAGAGAAGAAGUUGAAGCAACUCGGAGACAGUUCUAUCUAACUGUUAGAUUUCCAGGAGUGAAAGGUGCAAUUGAUGGGACACAUGUCUACAUCAAGAGCCGGGGGGGGGGGGGGGGGGGAUUGGGCCAUA